AAAUAUGACCACGAGACCGAUAGCGAACAAGUACCGUGAGGGAAAGUUGAAAAGCACUUUGAAGAGAGAGUUCAAGAGUACGUGAAACCGUUUAGGGGUAAACCUGAGAAACCCGAAAGGUCGAAGGGAGAAAUUCAUUCGCGUUUCGCGGCAGGCGUGGGACGGUCGUGUGACGGAAAGCGUUCGCGCGUUUCCGCUCCUUCCGUUCUUCGAACCGGCUACGAACGCGUGCACUUUUCUCCUGGUAGGACGUCGCGAUCCGUUGGGCGUCGGUCUACGGCUCGCGGUGGAGCCCGUUCGUAUCCGUACGAACGGACCCGUGUGUCCCGGCUGACUCGCUCGACGGUAUACGAAAGGUUUAAGGCCGCUCUCGGAGCGUUCGGCUCGUGACAAGCGCGCCGGUUGUGUUGGCGAUCGGACCUGGUGCCGAUUCUAACCUCCGGCGACUGUUGGUCGCGAAGUUCUCGAACAGACCUUAAGACCGAUCUGCGACGCUAUAGCUUUGGGUACUUUCAGGACCCGUCUUGAAACACGGACCAAGGAGUCUAGCAUGUGCGCGAGUCAUUGGGAAUCAUUAAACCUAAAGGCGAAAUGAAAGUAAAGGUCUUCCUCGCGAGGACUGAGGGAGGACGAGCGGUUUACCCUUAAAAGUGGCCGCUCCGCACUCCCGGGGCGUCUCGUUCUCAUCGCGAGAAGAGGCGCACCAAGAGCGUACACGCUGGGACCCGAAAGAUGGUGAACUAUGCCUGG
rnacentral:rRNA from 1 species